rnacentral:rRNA from 1 species
AAAACUUUCAACAACGGAUCUCUUGGUUCCCGCWUCGAUGAAGAACGCAGCGAAAUGCGAAAAGUAAUGUGAAUUGCAGAAUUCCGUGAAUCAUCGAAUCUUUGAACGCACAUUGCGCCCUUUGGUAUUCCGAAGGGCAUGCCUGUCCGAGCGUCAUUG